CUUUUCUGAUUAUGAACUGAAUAGUAGAAAAAAAUUCUGCAGUUUCAUCUUUGUUUUCUGUGUCUGUUGUGCAGGUUGGCACUUCGCUAUUUCAGUCAAUUUAUGAACACAAAAAAGAUUGACAAUUCUUAUGGAUUCUGGCAGCAAAAAUAUUAGAAGGGCAUGGAUUAUAGGAAGUCGUAAUGGUGAAGAUAGAAUUGCUCCACUGCUUGUGUUGAGCUCCUCUUUCAAAAAAAAUUGGUGAAGACAGAAUUGAUGUAGGAUAUAAUAUUUUAGUUUUUGGUAGAGUAUUAGUAGUAAAUUCUAAGUGGUUUCAUGUUUAUUUUGAUAUAGCUAUGCUUAAUUUAGUGAGAUGUAUGAAUAUUAAUACUUUU